CACGUAGGCGGCGAUUUAAGUCAGGGGUGAAAGCCCAGUGCUCAACACUGGAACUGCCCUUGAGACUGGAUUGCUUGAAUCCGGGAGAGGUGAGUGGAAUUCCGAGUGUAGAGGUGAAAUUCGUAGAUAUUCGGAAGAACACCAGUGGCGAAGGCGGCUCACUGGACCGGCAUUGACGCUGAGGUGCGAAAGCGUGGGGAGCAAACA
rnacentral:rRNA from 1 species